rnacentral:rRNA from 1 species
AAAUAGAACUUUGCAGAGAAAGUUAACAGGGCGUGAAACCGUUAAUUGAGAAACGAAUCGGAGCCACGAAGUCGUUUCGCAGAUGAGCUGGAGUUAAGUUCAAACUAGGCACGAAAGUGUCCAGUGUAUUCUUAGUUUAGCCAUCUUUGUAAGCGUACACUGCAACCGGUUAGACCAUUGGCCAUGGGCCCAGUUGCUGUAGUUGGUAGUAAUAGUGCUUGUCGUCCUUGUGGCGGCUCGUAUUGUUGGCUAGCUGCAAGUGAACUAUGGCCAAAUACUGACCGGCAAAAUGAAAAUCGCCACUGGCGUUACUAGAGAAUGCAUUGUUUGCAUAUAUGUCUACGUGCCCGUCCAUUGGGUUUAAGUUCGGCAUCUUUGAAUUUGGACUGGCUAGCUACCAGUGGGGCAACUCCUGGUGCUAGUUUAGCUUCCAUCUAAUCGGAUGUUGACUUGAUUCAGUGUUGUACGUGUACGAAACGAUUGGGUGUAUAUGUAAGGCAAUUUGCAAUAUCAUUGGCAGUGAGUAGGUCGGCUUUCCGAACGACCCGUCUUGAAACACGGACCAAGGAGUCUAAUUAGACAUCGAGUCGAUCGGUCUUGAAUAGGCCAGACUGUGUUAGGGUAGCCGAUAGAAGGCGUAGAGACAUGUGAUCCUCGCGGCAACAACAGCUGCUUGGCGCAACAUGUGCCUGUUCGUAUAGCAAUGUAGCAAUAAUGCUGAGCGGAGCAAAGAGAUGUCUGAUUGGUACCCGAAAGAUGGUGAUGCUUGGGCAAAUUGAAGCCAGAGGAAACUCUGGUGGAGGAUUGUAGCGAUUCUGACGUGCAAAUCGAUCGUCAGACCUGAGUAUAGGGGCGAAAGACUAAUCGAACCAUC